rnacentral:rRNA from 1 species
GAUGAACGCUGGCGGCGUGCCUAACACAUGCAAGUCGAGCGAACAGACGAGGAGCUUGCUCCUCUGACGUUAGCGGCGGACGGGUGAGUAACACGUGGAUAACCUACCUAUAAGACUGGGAUAAUUUCGGGAAACCGGAGCUAAUACUGGAUAAUAUAUUGAACCGCAUGGUUCAAUAGUGAAAGACGGUUUUGCUGUCACUUAUAGAUGGAUUCGCGCCGCAUUAGCUAGUUGGUAAGGUAACGGCUUACCAAGGCAACGAUGCGUAGCCGACCUGAGAGGGGGAUCGGCCACAAUGGAACUGAGACACGGUCCAGACUCCUACGGGAGGCAGCAGUAGGGAAUCUUCCGCAAUGGGCGAAAGCCUGACGGAGCAACGCCGCGUGAGUGAUGAAGGUCUUCGGAUCGUAAAACUCUGUUAUUAGGGAAGAACAAAUGUGUAAGUAACUAUGCACGUCUUGACGGUACCUAAUCAAAAAGCCACGGCUAACUACGUG